GUGUCAGCCGCCGCGGUAAUACAGAGGGUGCGAGCGUUGUCCGGAAUCACUGGGCGUAAAGGGCGCGUAGGCGGCCUGAUAAGUAGGGGGUGAAAUCUCGCGGCUCAACUGCGAGGCUGCCUCCUAAACUGUCGGGCUCGAGCACAGUAGAGGCAGGUGGAAUUCCCGGUGUAGCGGUGGAAUGCGUAGAGAUCGGGAAGAACAUCGGUGGCGAAGGCGGCCUGCUGGGCUGUUGCUGACGCUGAGGCGCGACAGCGUGGGGAGCAAACAGGAUUAGAUACCCGCGUAGUCC
rnacentral:rRNA from 1 species